rnacentral:snRNA from 15 species
AGCUUUGCGCAGUGGCGGUAUCGUAGCCUAUGAGGUUUAUCCGAGGCGUGAUUAUUGCUGGUUGAAAACUUUACCCAAUACCCCGCCUAGACGACUUGAAAUAUAGUCGGCGACGGCAAUUUUUGACGGUCUCUAAGGAGA